GGUGGCUCAGUGGUAGAGUGCUUGCCUAGCAUGCAUGAGGCCUGGGUUCAAUUCCUCAGCACCA
rnacentral:tRNA from 1 species